UACGUAGGGGGCUAGCGUUGUCCGGAAUCAUUGGGCGUAAAGCGCGUGUAGGCGGCCAGACAGGUCAGCUGUGAAAACUCGAGGCUCAACCUCGAGACGUCGGUUGAAACCGUCUGGCUAGAGUCCGGAAGAGGAGAGUGGAAUUCCCGGUGUAGCGGUGAAAUGCGCAGAUAUCGGGAAGAACACCCGUGGCGAAGGCGGCUCUCUGGGACGGUACUGACACUGAGAGACGAAAGCUAGGGGAGCGAAUGGG
rnacentral:rRNA from 1 species